rnacentral:rRNA from 1 species
AUUGAACGCUGGCGGCAGGCCUAACACAUGCAAGUCGAACGAGUGGCGGACGGGUGAGUAAUGUAUGGGAAACUGCCUGAUGGAGGGGGAUAACUACUGGAAACGGUAGCUAAUACCGCAUACCAUCAGAUGUGCCCAGAUGGGAUUAGCUAGUUGGUGGGGUAAAGGCUCACCAAGGCGACGAUCCCUAGCUGGUCUGAGAGGAUGACCAGCCACACUGGGACUGAGACACGGUCCAGACUCCUACGGGAGGCAGCAGUGGGGAAUAUUGGACAAUGGGCGAAAGCCUGAUGCAGCCAUCCCGCGUGUAUGAAGAAGGCCUUCGGGUUGUAAAGUACUUUCGGCGGGGAGGCGUUACCCGCAGAAGAAGCACCGGCUAACUCCGUGCCAGCAGCCGCGGUAAUUC